ACGUCUUUUACGGACCUAAGAAAGACUUAAAAGAAGCUGUUGACACUCGAAGAAAGUCAAGGUCCGGUGUAUCUAGAGGCCAACAAGUUGAUAACCGAGUUAAAGAUGCCGAUGCCACCUGAUCAGUCAACCCUAUUGUAUUGGAACCUUCGAGAAUUCGAACAGCUGGUAAACUAUCAUUGUCAUACUGGUUUGCUUGGGGUAUAUUCAGCUUCGCUGAUAAUUCCCGUAUUGUUACUGAUUGAUAUCUUAAUAAACGCUAAAAGCCCACCAACAGAUGGAGGUCAUUGCUGCUCACGUACCAAGCAGAGCAUUCUAGAUAUUUGAUGAGGUAUGAGGAUGCCAUUGUGGGGGAGAAUACAGAAAGAGGCUGGAAGGAUCAAUUCUUUGGUCGGAGUUCGUGCAGUGUUUGGAUUUGGAAUGAUUGGGUCUGCAGAAUGAUUUUUUUUUCUAA